GCCUAGAAGCAGCAGGGCCCACUGGCCUGAUACAUUUUAAACUUUUUAGCUCAGUACCCCGAAAACCUAGUUUUUACUUCUUUGGUCUCUCAAUAAAAGAGGGUGGCUGGGCUCUGCUGCCCCUGCUUACCCUGCACGCCUAUGAUGAAAACUUCAAGACGCUGGUGUCAAUAAGUCAGUCAACCUGAGUAAUCCAGAACACUGACAGCCAUCAAAGCAGAGAGGAUGAGCGGGCCCCCAGCUCCAGCACUGAGGUAUGCGGUGAGGCGGUCAGCGACGAGAUGUCCCAUUGCUGGUCCAUCUGGAAUCACGUUGGAGGUGGUAGGCCUGGUGGCCUUUGCUUGGCAGCUUCUGUAGAAGGUCGAGUGGAGAUCUGACAGGGAUGUCUGAAAGCAGGUGGUGAGGCACUUCUCGUCUGCAUGGGUGGGAGUGGCAGGG